CCUCCUUUAACUCCUGUGGUUUCACAAAGUCCCGGAACCUCUCCUGGGUCACAAAGUUCUCCAAGGUUGAAUCCAGAAAGUCCCUGUUUUGUGCCUGGAACUUCCCUUAAAAACUCUACUUCGAGGGCAGGAGUCAAAGUUCCACAGUUGAUGUCCCAAGAUCCUCUCCCCCAGCGAGAACUGAGACACAGCACCAGAGUGCGGCAACCCCCUAGGGCCCUAGUUUAUGAUAAUAUAGGAGAGCCCAGUUAUGCCCCGCUGACACAA